rfam:Camelus ferus unplaced genomic scaffold scaffold701, whole genome shotgun sequence.
GUGGGCAUAGCUCAGUGGUAGAGCACGUGCUUAGCAUGCAGAAGGUCCUGGCUUCAUUCCCCAGUACCUCCA